rnacentral:rRNA from 1 species
GGUUCGGGAUGAGCUCGCGGCCUAUCAGCUAGUUGGUGAGGUAACGGCUCACCAAGGCGACGACGGGUAGCCGGCCUGAGAGGGUGACCGGCCACACUGGGACUGAGACACGGCCCAGACUCCUACGGGAGGCAGCAGUGGGGAAUAUUGCACAAUGGGCGCAAGCCUGAUGCAGCAACGCCGCGUGAGGGACGACGGCCUUCGGGUUGUAAACCUCUUUUAGUAGGGAAGAAGCGAAAGUGACGGUACCUGCAGAAAAAGCACCGGCUAACUACGUGCCAGCAGCCGCGGUAAUACGUAGGGUGCAAGCGUUAUCCGGAAUUAUUGGGCGUAAAGAGCUCGUAGGCGGUUUGUCACGUCUGCUGUGAAAACUGGAGGCUCAACCUCCAGCCUGCAGUGGGUACGGGCAGACUAGAGUGCGGUAGGGGAGAUUGGAAUUCCUGGUGUAGCGGUGGAAUGCGCAGAUAUCAGGAGGAACACCGAUGGCGAAGGCAGAUCUCUGGGCCGUAACUGACGCUGAGGAGCGAAAGCGUGGGGAGCGAACAGGAUUAGAUACCCUGGUAGUCCACGCCGUAAACGUUGGGAACUAGAUGUAGGGACCAUUCCACGGUUUCUGUGUCGCAGC